CAUAAUUUUGGUAUACCCAGAUAGUUGUUCUCUGGGGGACCAACAUAUAAAAAACUCAGUUCAUUCGGUUCAGCCGUUCGGGAGAUAUGGACUUAGAAGUUUUGACCGACUGCACGGGCAAAGUAGCCGAAAACAGUUCCAUGAAUUCUGGCCCUGCAGUUGGUCUUAGGUCGCAUGAAAAACCUCCCGAACCGCCGGCCAUCCAGCUACCAUCCUUGGUUCGCUUGAUUUCCCCAUCCGUUAGUAAGUUUGGAAGGGGGUUUACCGAAGGUCUGGAGGCUUCAGCGGUGUUCGCCUGUUUGAGUGUCCGUUUUCAGUUCCAGACACUCAACGGCAAACACCGCUGUUCGGGAGCUAAAAUGGCCGCGAACACGUGGAAGUCCCGAAAUGGUGGCGAGACAUGUCGUUCGUGCAGAACUUCUGUCGAAUGUAAUCCAGCCAGCAAGGGGGUACAGUCUGUAUAAUGGGCAACGGGGUGGUCUGCAUUCGGUAGUUUUACCUACUGAAUGCCAUAGGGAACAUUACUAUUAAACAAACGAAUACAAAAUUUACAGUAUAAGAGGGGCAUUUUUUCCCACACACCUCCUCUCGAAAAUAUCAAAGAGCUGAAUUCUCUUCU